UCCCUGGCCGUCUUUACCUUAUAUGGUAAUCAUAACCAUAUAUGUCACAACACAAACAUCUAUAAAUAAACGUUAUGAAUGAGUGUAAUAUGACCAUAUAUGAAGAAAGCGUAAUCAAAUAACGUGCGAGGGGUACCGAAUGGAGAAACAAGAAAAAAACAUCGUUGGAAUAAUCUCCCCUUUUGAUUGCACACGAGCUUUCAAACGGUUGAGAUCCGGUGCCCAAGACAGGAGAAAAGUGAACCGUAUUGCUGGGGACUCCAAUGCUCAUCGGAUUAAGGAUAUUCUUCCUGAUGAUAUAGCUGUCAAAUGCCUGCCAAUCUCUGAUGAGAAUAUGUAAUGACAAUGGUAUAGAACAGUAAUUACAGUUUCAGACAUUCGCCAACUCUGUUUUCAAAGGUGCCAAAUUUUCUUGUGAUCGUUUUCGCCAUGCAUUGUUGAGAGACUUGCGGAAGAUGGAUGUUCAACAGCUGUAUCUUCAUCUAGGCUCAAAUGACAUUCUUACGAAUGAAGCGGUGUUUUACCGAGAUGUAGCUGACUUGUGCGAUUUGGUGCAUCAGGAGGCGCACAAUCGGUGUCCAGAAUGCAGGGUUGUUUGCUCCAACGAAGACGCUUUGCUGAGC